GCUGGAAUAUUGUUACCAAUGCGCCUAUACUGAAGAAGUGAAAAUCAUUCAAUUUGGCGGUGAAAUUAGAUGUAAGAAUCAGAGCCUCUUAGUCCUUGCGUCAGACAGGAUUCUUUGGAUCGCAGGGGACAAGAACCCAACUCAGAUUAGCUUAAACCAAGAAGGCUGUCUCCUGGGGGGGACACUAGCGCAGUGCCAGAAUGGAAGGAAGACUUCAAGAAGGAGGGCAGCUCCAUGGAGAGACUGGAUUCUUCGCUCCUUUGGUUGCCGCCUCUCUCGGCCUCGAUUAUCUCGGAUGUCUUCAAACGGCCUGGUACAUGGCUCUUCCUCACAGCUCCGAAGCCAGAGAGGAAGGAGCGGUCCCUCCAAUCCCAUUCAUUGCUGCUCAAGGGAGCAUUCUGAUUGGCCCAGCUCAAGGUAAGUGCUCACCCCUUGGACCAAUCACCGUGGCCCGGGCGUUGGUCAGGGAGGCACAGACCCAUCCCCACAGAACUUGAUGACUGGAUUGAAGAGUGGGACAGGAGCAGCUCCGCAGGAAAGGAGGAGUUAUUCUGGGCAACCUCUAAAGGGCCCUGACGUUCUGGCGCGCCCUAUAAUGAACCUAUCACUGGCCCGAUCACUUGACAGGCUGGCCUCGUUGCAUCAACGCCUGGAGAGCAUCCAGAGGGCCCCCCUUGGUGGCAAAAGUUACCGAAUUCCUGCCACAUCUUAUUCCAGUUAAAACUGUGUUACCUCAAGGACUGGUCUUCAAGAAAGAUAGAAAGCCUGUUUCCACUUCGAUUUACAUCACCAUCAAAAGAAUCCGCUAUCCUCCAUGGAGACAGACACCGUCAAGGACAAGCACCUCGACCAUCUCCUCCCCACAAAGAGAUACGAGCUGGUGGGAAAGCUGCUGACCAGCAAGGUCACGGGCUCCCUCCUCUCUGCAAGUGUCUCAAGGCCAAAGAUAGGCUGGUGGGAAAGCUCCGACCAGCAAGGCCAUAUGCUCCCCCUCCCCUACCUAAAGCCCCAAAUAAAAACCCUUCCUUUUAGCUUUUCGGGGAGUUUGGGAUGUAAGCGUUAGCUGCCCUCUCUCCUUGCUCAGCGCUGUGCAAAAAUAAAGUUCCUACUUUCUUCCACCACCCCCGGUGUCAGAGAUUGUCUUGCUGCGCAACGGUGUCUGUAUGGACUGCACCCUCAUAUGGCGAUGGAUGAAAACUAGACUAUCAACCUGAUUUCUUGUCAACUGGAAGAUUGGAGUCACAUAAUCUGCUUUUUCCCAAAAAGAUCCACAAGGUGUCUUCAGGAUUGCCUUUGCAGCCCAGGACACCCACCCGAUGCAUAGACUCUGCUGGGACGAGAGGGGCAGGUAGGAAGAGGGGACUGUGUUUUGUGCUAUUCUGCUCAACCCCCUAGGUGGUUGGAUCGGGGCUGGGUAUUAACCCCAGAGCAGAAAAUUUCAUAGGCUGGCCAGUGACCUCUGACUUGGCACAAAAGAAUGUCCUCCAACCGGAGUCCCUCUCUCUGGGCUCUACAAUGGAAACAGAGAGAAUGUGGGGGAUGAGAGGGAGGAGCCACAAAUAGGAGCUUAGGUGGGGACCUCUCAGCCAGAGGCUGACUUUGUGCAAAUGGGGUAGAGUCUUGGAAUCUGUGUUUUUAAAAUUCCUUAGGCAAUUCAAACGCACUGAUAUCCACUUUGUUUUAAUUCCAUUUGAACUUAGUCACCUCCAAUAGGACACUCCUACCUCACCUCACAC
ensembl:lncRNA